UUGACAGUCCUAGAAAACGGUGUCCUCUGUUUAUUCACAGAACAGGCGUAGCACAGGAUGUGACAGAACAAGCUUCCCCAUGCUGCCCUGCCAGUAUGCCUCACAGCCAAUCUGGAGUAUGAGAGGAUAAUUCAGUCUCUAUGCCCAUUCAGUACUUGGCCCCC
ensembl:misc_RNA